GAAUGACUCUCGGCAACGGAUAUCUAGGCUCUUGCAUCGAUGAAGAACGUAGCGAAAUGCGAUACUUGGUGUGAAUUGCAGAAUCCCGUGAACCAUCGAGUCUUUGAACGCAAGUUGCGCCCGAUGCCAUUAGGUUGAGGGCACGUCUGCCUGGGUGUCACAUA
rnacentral:rRNA from 1 species